AUACUUACCUGGCAGGGGAGAUAUGAUCACAAAGGUGGUUUUCCCAGGCGAGGCUGAUCCACUGUACUCCAGCUGCGCUGACCCCUGCGAUUUCCCCAAAUGUGGGAAACUCGACUGCAUAAUUUGUGGUAGUGGGGGACUGCAUUCAUGCUCUCCCUUA
ensembl:snRNA U1 U1 spliceosomal RNA